AACACAGUAAAUAUUAACUGAUUCAGAUCAAAUUCAAUACGCAUCCCCAUUUUUUUUCCUGAGUAACCAAUUCAUUCUUUAAGGGUUCCUCAAGGUAUCUCUUGACCCAGAAAAGGUCCCACUAACAUCAUGGCUUUUGUUUUAAUGAAGAUAUUAUUAAACAAAGUUAUUUCCAGCCAGUAGAAACUAGGGAGAAAAAUACAUGCCUGUGAAAUGCCCAAUCUCUCUAAAUCACAUUGGCAAACAGAAAAAAAGCUUCCUAGAAGAUUUAAAAAAAAAAAAAAAAGGCAUACACCUUAACUUCUACAUUUUCCUCCCAAGGUCCUUACUAUCUUACACGGUACUAUGAAAAUUCGAUACCUGUCUGGGAUAUAAGUUGAGAAUACAUACAGAGCAUAGGAAUGGGCAGUUCUUGAUGGCAAAGACUAAAACUGUCCCCCAAAACAGGUAACUUCAGGCUUAUGACUGAAAGCUGAGUUCAGGUUCACGUGAGCAUUUUUCAGGGAAGAGGGUACAAAGACUUUUGCCAAAUCCUCAAGCAAACAAACAAGAAUUACAGGAACAGACAAACAAAUCAAGGGACACAUUUAUUAUACUAGAUUGAUAACUGUAUAAUAGGGGCUUUCUAUUUUUUAAAAAAUGGAUUGCUUUAGCAAAGCAAAAGAUGCCUAUCCUUCUUUGCUUACCACAACAAAUAAAAAAGCAAUUCUGCUGAGAUAUGAAAAAUGGUACUGUUUGUUAAUGAGAGCUAAAAAAAAAAAAAUAGAAAUUCAUAUCUAAAACAAGAGAUCACUGUUCUAGAGAGGAUGACCACCCCUCAUAAACCAUCUGGAGUGCUCACGUGGAAUACAGGAAAAACCAGACAUGCAGAGAUUCUACUCUAUCAGUUCAAUAAGCUACUCCACAUUCAAGAGCACUGACGGAAUACCAAGUGUGAGAUGUUUAAACAAAUGGAUGCAAUGCUGGAAGCACUCACUCGUCUACAUCAAGGAAUUUGGAAGACAGCUAUCUGGCCAACCAACCAGAAGAGAUUCAUGUUCCAUUCCAAAGAAAGGUGAUUCAACAGAAUGCAGAAAUUUUCAAAUAUCAUUAAUAUCACAUGCAAGUAAAAUUUUGAUGAAGGUAAUUCAAAAAUGGCUGCAGCCGUACAACAGGGAACUGCCAGAAAUUCAAGCCAGAUUCAGAAGAGGAAUGAGGGAUAUCAUUGUUGAUAUCAGAUGGAUCUUGGCUGAAAGCAGAGAAUAUCAGAUGUUUACCUGUGUUUUACUGAUUACGCAAAGGCAUUUGACUGUGUAGAUCUUAACAAAUUACAGAUAACAUUACAGAGGAUGGGAAUUCCAAAACACUUAAUUGUGCUCAUGCAGAACCUGUACAUAGACCAAGAAACAGUCUUGUUCAAACAGAAUGAGUGGAUACUGCAUUGUUUAAAAUCAGGGAAGGUGUGUGUCAGGGCUAUAUCCUUUCACUAUACUUACUCAAUCGAUAUGCUGAGCAAAUAAUCCGAGAAGCUGGACUAUAUGAAGAACAUGGCAAGAGGAUCAGACAAAGGCUCAUUAACAACCCCUGUUAUGCAGAUGACACAACCUUGUUUGCUGAAAGCAAAGAGAACUUGAAGAACUUACUGAUGAAGAUCAAAGACUACAGCCUUCAGUAUAGAUUACACCUCAACAUAAAGAAAACAAAAACACUCACAACUGGACCAUUAAAUAACUUCAUAAUAGAUGGAGAAAAUAUUGAAGUUAUCGACUUCAUUCUACUUAGAUCCACCAUCAAAGCCCAUGAGAACAGCAAUCAAGAAAUCAAACGACAUAUUGCAUUGGGUAAAUCCGCUGCAAAAGACCUCUUUAAAGUUAAAAAGCAAAGAUGUCACUUUGAGGACUAAGGUGUGCCCAACCCAAGCCAUGAUAUUUUCAAUUGUCUUAUAUGCAAAAGCUGGACAAUGAAUAAGGAAGACUGAAGUAGAAUUGAUGCUUUUGAAUUAUGGUGCUGGCAAAAAAUAUUAAAUAUACCAUGGACCGCCAGAACAAACAAAUUUAUCUUGGAAGAAGUACAGCCAGAAUGCUCAUUAGACGCGAGGAUGGUGAGGCUUCGUUUCACGUACUUUGGACAUGUUAGCAGGAGGGACUAGUCCCUGGAGAAGGACAUCAUGCUUUGUAGAGGAUCAGCAAAAAAGAGGAAGACCCUCAACGAACGGGAGUGACACAGUGGCGGCAACAAUUGGUUCAAACAUAGCAACCACUGUGAGGGCAGUGCAGGACCAGGUAGUGUUUCAUUCUGUUGUACACAGGGUCGAUGUAUCAGAACUGACUCAAUAGCACCUAAUGAAAACAGUUUAAUUUUUGCCUAUCCUUACCUUCACAAAAAAAAUGAACUCAUACAGUAUAUACUCUUGUAUCUGCCUUCUUUCAGUCAAAAAUAUAUUUUUGAGAUCAUCCAAGUUAUUGUAGUAUUUAUUAGUAGUUCAUUCUUUCUUUAUUGUUAUGUAGUAUUCCUUUCACAAAUGUGCCACAGUUUACUUAUCCGUUCUUCAGUUGAUAUCUGGGUUGGUUCCAAUGUUUAGCUAUUAUGAGUAAAGUUGCUGUGAACAUUCUUACAUAUGUUUAGUGAACAUAUGCACUCAUUUCUCUUGAGUAUGUAUCAACGAGUGGAACUGAUGGGUCACAGUGUAGGCAUAAGCUUAUCUUUAGUAUAUGCUGCCAGUCUUCCUAAGUGGUUGAAUCAAUUUAUACUCUCAGCAGCAACGAAUGAGGUUAUCUACAUCCUUGCAAACUCUUGGGAAUUGUCAGUCUUUUUAAUUUUAACCGUCUAGCAGGUUUUUUUUAGCAGGUAGGCAAUAGUUUCUAAUUAGGAUUUUAAUUUGCAUUUCCCUGAUGAGUGAUGCUGACACUUUUUUAUAUGCCUAAUAGCAACAUGGAUAUCAUCUUUUGUGAAGUACCUGCUCAAAUUUUUUGCCUAUUUCUAAAUUCAGUUCUUUUACUCUGCAGAAUUACUUGAUGUACUCUGAAUAUUAAUCAGAUAUAUAUGUAUUGUAAAUAUCUUCUCCCAGUCUAUGGAGUUCCUAUUUACUUUCUUAAUGAUGUCUUUUAACAAAAAAAAUUCCUUAUUUCAAUGAAGUCCAAUUUCUCUGUGUUUUCUUUUAUGGUUAAUGCCCUUUGUAGAUGUCUAUCCUUUUCUUAUCAGAAAACUCUAAAAAAAAUUUUUUAAAAAUUACCUUUGCUUAUCUCUAAACUAUAUUUGGGGUGGCUCACAGUAAGAUCAGAUACAACAAAAGCCACAAACCCAUUAAAAGUUAGCAAUGACAGAAGUCCUAGGCUACAGGAAGCUACUGAACUUGAGUCUAAAAUUUAGUUAUGAGUUUCUUGACAAAAAUGUUCUGUUUUUUUCUUAAAGUCAUCAAAAAAGAUCAGCCUUAAACCUGAAGAGUUUCUUGAAGUUAUAAAAAGGCGCCACUUCUUAUGUAGUUACAAGUUCAUAAAAGGGGCAAAGGAUUAAGAAUCAUGGGUAAAUUUGAAAGCUACUUAUAUUUAGUUUUGAAAUGUACUUUCACGUGGAUGAGGCUAAUGUGAAAUUUAUAACAUUCCAAAAACUGAAAUUCAAUGGUGGAGUAAUAAAUGAUAAUACCAAUAAAGAAGUUAAAAAAAAAAAAAAAGACUAGCAACUGCUCCUU